rnacentral:rRNA from 1 species
AGAGUUUGAUCAUGGCUCAGAACGAACGCUGGCGGCGUGCCUAAUACAUGCAAGUCGAACGAGAAUUCCCGGCUUCGGUUGGGAUAGUAAAGUGGCGAACGGGUGAGUAACACGUGGAUAACCUGCCUGUACAUCUGGGAUAAUCCUUCGAAAGGGGGCUUAAUACCGGAUAAUAUCUCGAAGUGGCAUCGCUUUGAGAUCAAAGACGGGGCAACCUGUCGUGAACAGAUGGAUCCGCGUCCCAUUAGCUUGUUGGCGGGGUAACGGCCCACCAAGGCUACGAUGGGUAGCCGGCCUGAGAGGAUGAUCCCCCCGAGUGGGACUGAGACACGGCCCACACACCUACGGGUGGCAGCAGUUGGGAAUCUUGCACAAUGGGGGAAACCCUGAUGCAGCGACGCCGCGUGGAGGAUGACGGAUUUAGGUCUGUAAACUCCUUUUGCAGGGAAAGACUUAGGACGGUACCCUGAGAAUAAGGACCGGCUAACUACGUGCCAGCAGCCGCGGUAAGACGUAGGGUCCAAGCGUUGUCCGGAUUUACUGGGCGUAAAGAGCGCGUAGGCGGUCUGUUAAGUGUGAAGUGAAAUCUCCAGAGCUCAACUCGGAAACUGCUUCGCAUACUGGCAGACUUGAGGAAUGCAGAGGUGAAUAGAAUUCCUGGUGUAGCGGUGAAAUGCGUAGAUAUCAGGAGGAAUACCCAUGGCGAAGGC